AUGAUCCUUCUCCUUCUCAAAGUUCACAUGAAACAGCCAGAAACAUCUGUGAACAAAGAGCAUAAUCAAGGAUCCAGGAAGAAUUUCAUAAACACAGUACAACAUUCAGCCUGUGCAUCUCAAAGACUCGGGGAACUGUUCAUUCAACAGAGAAUGUGCACUUCUCUAGGUCACAAAGGGAUCUCUCAGCCAGAACUGGGAAGCCUUUACUGCUGAUGAAUAAACUGCCUAACCAAAUGAACUCCA
rnacentral:lncRNA from 1 species